AUGAUUCUGUAAUGAGUUUAUUCAGGACAGAGGAAAAUAAAUUUUAUAAGGGUAACUUUCGGUUAUUUCAAAUGCAAUCUAACUUAAAAUAAUUAGUAAUGAACUUUGGAAAAUAAUUUUAAUAUAGUUAAAAACUGGAAUUGGUACUAAGUAUUUUUUAAUGUUUCUGAGAGAUAUGAGACAUGUAAGAAUAAGCUAUAUUUGGUUGAUAAAAUUAUUCUGAAAAAAAUUCUUAAACUUUGGAAAGCUGAACUUCUAAAUCUAUAACUGUCAUCUAACCUCUCCUCAGGAAGAACUUUUCUGAGGUAGCGACUUUCUUCUGGUUCCAGUUUUUACAGAUUUCCAGUCAGUUUUCAACUUUCAAUGAAAAGAUUUUUGUGGAUGAGGAUUAUCUGGUCACAAAAGAUUCCUCCUUCAGGGAAAUUUGGUUCCUCUGAUCAACAAUAUUUUGGGCCUGCAUUUUCUCCAGCAGUGAACAGGUGGGCAAAGCGAAGGAAUGUGACGUAUCCUUGUCCUCAGAGGCCAGACAGGGCUGCAGGUAUCAAGUGCAGAUCUGCCGAUUAAUUGGAUAUGGAGAAAGAGAGCACCAGCAGGAGUAUCAAGAUAGAGGGUGGUAUAUUUGGUAAUAAUUUCAGUAAAUCGAGCCAAAAAGAGGACAGGGUUUUCAUCAGGUCCUUGGGUGAGUUCCCUAAUCUUGUCAUAAUUAACCUGGGUAUGAGAAUUUUUUUCUCAUGCCAUCAAGGAGGCAAGUAGUCAUGUGUUGGAUUUUAGUGAGCCUGGCAUCUUGAGAUUGGUAUGUCCAUUAGGUUCAGCUGUAGGGAUGGCAGCACAUGCUGCGGGAUUGGUAAAGGGGUUUUGAGUACUGGAGGAGGUAGGCAUGCUCUUUAGCUGCUUGCCAGAUUCAGGCACGAUUAUCAGGGGUCAGGGUGGAAGUUAGGAUAUAGUAAUAUAUAUUUGACAUACUUUUGAAGCUGAAAUUUCAAAAUUAGAAGAUUAUGAGCAUCACUUUUUUCUAGUGAAUACUUGAGAAAUAAUUGGCCAGUGCCUUGUUCUGUCCCCAUGUAAACAAAUGGAAAAGAAUCCAAGUUAGACAAAUACUUCAAGUGCUUCAUGUGUAUUAGAAAACAAUAAACCAAAAAGGAGAGGUGAAAGUUCCAUCUGGUGGUUAACACAAAAUUCCAGGAAUUCACAUUAUCAUACUUCACUUGACUGAGCAGUACUGGAAUUUUCAGUUUAGAAAAAAAUCUGUGUGUUCUGAAGUAGAAAGGAAACUACCAGCUGUUACAUAGUAGUAAUAUUUAGGGUAAUUAAUGGUGGAAGACAAAGUCUUUCAUAGGGUAUUUAGAAUACUUGUCCCAAGAUAAUCACUGCAAAAAGUUAGAAGGUCAAAUAUCUUUUGAGAGUAUACUUAAAUCCCUUAUUUGAAGACUCAUGGGUAUUAACAUUAAAAUCUGUGACAAGUCAAGAGACUUAUUUCAUAUAAUUUAACUUGGUGUUUCCUGACUUUAUUUGACCAUGGAAUCUCUCCCUUUUUCUUUCUUUUUUUUUAAUCUCUAAUUUUGAAAAAUGCUAGUUUGAGAAUGUAAUGAUCUUAAGGGCAUUUGCUUUAUAAAAAAAACUUUUUAAAAGAAGGGUCUUGAACAGACGCUUCUCAGAAGAUGAUAUACAAUCAAUCAACAAAUAUAUGAAAAAAUGUGGGGCUGUGGUUGUGGCUCACCGGUAGAGUGCUUGCCUAGCAUGUGCAAGGUCCUGGGUUCGAUCCUCAGCACCACAUAAAAAUAAAAUAAAGAUAUUAAAAAAAAUUUAAAAAUGUUCAUCAUCACUAGCAAUUAGAAAAAUGCAAAUCAAAACCACUCUAAGUUUUCAUCUUACUCCAAUAAGAAUGGCAGCUUUUAUGAAGACAAACAACAAUAAGUGUUGGUGAGGAUGUGGAGAAAAAGGCACACUCAUACAUUGUUGGUGGGACUGCAAAUUGGUGCAACCAAUAUGGAAAGCAGUAUGGAGAUUUCUUGGAAAAUUGGGAAUGGAACCACCACUUGACCCAGCUAUCCUGCUUCUUGGUUUCUACUCAAAGGACUUAAAAACAGCAUACUACAGGGACACAGCCACAUCAAUGUUUAUA